GCUCUGUGAUAUGAGCUUGUCCGAGACUCCAUUUCUCAUCUAGAAAUGAAUAGUCACAUGUACUUGAUGAAGAUAACUUCAGAAUCACCAGCAAAUAUGUGAGAGAAAACUCCUUGUGAGCAGAAUGCUGCAUCCACAAAGACAUCACCAUGGCGAUCCUCAUGAAUGGAGGGCAGGCCCUCCGGGGCAGUCCCUAGCCACACGGCCACACUGGGAUGAACAGAGGGUGAGACUGGCUGGGGAUGCUGAUAUUACCAGGGACAGGAAUCCUGCUUUGACUUGUGAGUAAUCUUGGGGAUGCUGAAUCAUGAAGGAGGAAGGAAGCUGAAAAGAAUGGGUGAGGGGUACCCAGGACCUGACAGGUCAAGUAGAAGAGAAUACUGGGAGUGAAUGAAGAGGUAAUGUACUGUCUACUGGAGAACUGGGAAGAUGGACACGAUAUUUUAUUUGCAAGUAUGAAGAGACCUUCCUAUUCCAAGGGAACGUCUUACAGAUGCUUGGACAAUGAAAACUCAGAGACUUGAUCUGCAAUCACUUUACAAGUCGCUGACUGAGGAUUUUCCAUGGUGCUUUAUCAUUGAGGAAAGAUCCUUAUCACAUGUUCUAUUCAAUCACUCGGCCCAUCAAGGUGAUACGGGAAUAUGGUUCCAAAAGUUCUGCAAUUUUAACAGCACUCAGGAAAAAUUAAAAGUGUCAGCAUCUACCGGGAGUCUGCCAGGACUGUUUUGAAACCAGAUGACAGGACAAUGGAGUGUUCUGAUGUUCAUAUGCAAGAAAGAAGAAAGGCAGCCUGGCUAACGUGGUGAAACCCCAUCUCUACUAAAAAUACAAAAAAUUAUCCAGACUUUUACUUUGCUCCUAAUGGAAUUCUAUCCCAAUGCAAAACAAAUACCCAAGAUCAAGAAACUGCUUCCUGACAGAACAGUCAAAAUUGGAGCUUGAAGG